rnacentral:tRNA from 1 species
GGGCGGCUAGCUCAGUUGGUUAGAGCACUUGGUUUACACCCAUGGGGUCGGGGGUUCGAGUCCCUCGCCGCCUACCA